rnacentral:rRNA from 1 species
AGUGAACGCUGGCGGUAGGCCUAACACAUGCAGGUCGAACGGCAGCACAGUAAGAGCUUGCUCUUACGGGUGGCGAGUGGCGGACGGGUGAGGAAUACAUCGGAAUCUACUUUUUCGUGGGGUAUAACGUAGGGAAACUUACGCUAAUACCGCAUACUACCUACGGGUGAAAGCAGGGGAUCUUCGGACCUUGCGCGAUUGAAUGAGCCGAUGUCGGAUUAGCUAGUUGGCGGGGUAAAGGCCCACCAAGGCGACGAUCCGUAGCUGGUCUGAGAGGAUGAUCAGCCACACUGGAACUGAGACACGGUCCAGACUCCUACGGGAGGCAGCAGUGGGGAAUAUUGGACAAUGGGCGCAAGCCUGAUCCAGCCAUACCGCGUGGGUGAAGAAGGCCUUCGGGUUGUAAAGCACUUUUGUUGGGAAAGAAAAGCAGAAGGUUAAUACCCCGCUGUUCUGACGGUACCCAAAGAAUAAGCACCGGCUAACUUCGUG